rnacentral:rRNA from 1 species
UACGGGGGGGGCAAGCGUUGUUCGGAAUUACUGGGCGUAAAGGGCGCGUAGGCGGCCUGCUAAGUCGGAUGUGAAAUCCCUCGGCUCAACCGAGGAACUGCAUCCGAUACUGGCGGGCUUGAAUCCGGGAGAGGGAUGUGGAAUUCCAGGUGUAGCGGUGAAAUGCGUAGAUAUCAAGCGGAACACCGGUGGCGAAGGCGGCCUUCUGGACAGUGACUGACGCUGAGAUGCGAAAGCGUGGGGAGCAAACAGG